AGUGCCUGAGGGGGUAAGAGCCC
rnacentral:miRNA from 2 species